AUUGAACGCUGGCGGCAUGCCUUACACAUGCAAGUCGAACGGCAGCACGGGAGCAAUCCUGGUGGCGAGUGGCGAACGGGUGAGUAAGUAUCGGAACGUGCCCAGUCGUGGGGGAUAACGUAGCGAAAGUUACGCUAAUACCGCAUACGAUCCAUGGAUGAAAGCGGGGGAUCGCAAGCACUCGCGCGAUUGGAGCGGCCGAUAUCAGGUUAGGUGGGUGGUGGGGUAGAGGCUGCCCAAGCCGACGAUCUGUAGCUGGUCUGAGAGGACGACCAGCCACACUGGGACUGAGACACGGCCCAGACUCCUACGGGAGGCAGCAGUGGGGAAUUUUGGACAAUGGGCGAAAGCCUGAUCCAGCCAUGCCGCGUGCAGGAUGAAGGCCUUCGGGUUGUAAACUGCUUUUGUACGGAACGAAAAGGUUUGGCCUAAUAAGCUGAGCUCAUGACGGUACCGUAAGAAUAAGCACCGGCUAACUACGUGCCAGCCGCCGCCGUAAUAC
rnacentral:rRNA from 1 species